rnacentral:misc_RNA from 1 species
UCGCCAUAAUCACUUUCCUUAAGAGCUUUGGUUCCUCUCUCAGACAACUCAGCAGCGAACCCUAGUGACUUCUCUUGAUCUCCAUUGGAAGUAAGGAUAGAAUCUUCACCGCUGUUGCUGAUGUUAUUGCAAGUGGAGUCAGCACCUUCCUGCGCGUUUGACUCGAUGGUGGCCUCGUUAGAGAUUUGGGUUUCCACCGCCCUAGAGGCCUCGGCGACGGUUUGCUCAGUCAUUGUCACUGAUGAUUCCGAUAUCACAGCUUCGUCUUCCGCCAUUGUUUAGGUCAGGGUUUUGGAAAAUGAAAAAGGGCAAUGGG